rnacentral:rRNA from 1 species
UCUUCCCUCUUUCUUCGUGCCUCCUCCCUGCACGUCGAGCGCACGGACGAGAAGCUUGCUUCUCUGAUGUUAGCGGCGGACGGGUGAGUAACACGUGGAUAACCUACCUAUAAGACUGGGAUAACUUCGGGAAACCGUAGCUAAUACCGGAUAAUAUUUUGAACCGCAUGGUUCAAAAGUGAAAGACGGUCUUGCUGUCACUUAUAGAUGGAUCCGCGCUGCAUUAGCUAGUUGGUAAGGUAACGGCUUACCAAGGCAACGAUGCAUAGCCGACCUGAGAGGGUGAUCGGCCACACUGGAACUGAGACACGGUCCAGACUCCUACGGGAGGCAGCAGUAGGGAAUCUUCCGCAAUGGGCGAAAGCCUGACGGAGCAACGCCGCGUGAGUGAUGAAGGUCUUCGGAUCGUAAAACUCUGUGAUUAGGGAAGAACAUAUGUGUAAGUAACUGUGCACAUCUUGACGGUACCUAAUCAGAAAGCCACGGCUAACUACGUG